CCCUUACACACACACACCAUUUCAACUAGGUACCUAGAAGAAGUCCACAGCUGGACAUAGACCUCUCCCAAAGACUUCCACAAAGACUGAUUUAAAGCAACUUACAAUGAAUAGGUGCAGCUACCUACACAAAUACACACCACAGAGUACAUUUUUAUGUACUAAAAAUACACACCACUAAUAAAAAUGCGAACCGGCCUUAUUCUGUCAACAGUUAAAUAAAAACAUAACCUAACUUACCUAACCUCAUUUAUAUGGGCAGAUUUCUCUUGGUAUUUGUUUUGUCCAAAUAUUUACUUCUGCAAACUGCAUCCCAGAUCCCGGUCCAAGUGAACAGAAAAAGUUAUAAUGGGAAAGAAACGGAAGAUGAGAAUAUUAAAAAGAACACUGAAGAAUAACAAAAACAAUUUUAGCACCGUUCCAAAUAUUCAUGUAAUAUAUGAAUCAGUAACUGAUACAAAGCCUAGUCAAAAAUCGGAAGUCUUAGAUAAAAUCUGUAGCGGAUCUGAUUCUAUUGUUAACCUAACUGUUAAAAUAGAUGGAAAUAGAAAAGAUGAAGUUGUGUCCAAGAAAGUGAAAAAAAGAAAAAUGACCAAUACAGUUAACCCUCCUGAAAAAAUAUCGGAACCUCCUACACACAAAAGCAAGGUAACUGAAACGUCAGGUGAAAUUAUU